rnacentral:misc_RNA from 1 species
GUUGCCAUCUAUUGGCCUGAAAACGGUGUCCAAUCUUGUAGUUCUCUGUGUCAGUUCUGUUUCUUUGAAUCGAUUACAGAUCAACUUCUAAUCAUCGAUUCCAUUUUAGUUUUUCAACCCUCAGAAAACGCAUACAAUCAUCUCCUCUGUCACAUUGGAGUGGAAAAGAGAAUAUUACAGUAAUAGCAAUGCACAAAGACCAUAAUAAUUCUUCCAGUGCACCAACAACACCAAGAAUUCGCCAUCGGAGGCGUUCUAAUGAGGUUAUUUUAUUAGUCUGUUCUCGCACAUAUAGCUGCAGGAGGUUUUAUCAAAUGAUGGCUUGGUAUUUUGAUGGUAUUUAGAUUCAUAUCUGUAUUCAGACUUUUGCUUAAUUUGGUACUUGGCAGAUUCCUCAUGAGUUAACCAAAUUGAAUGGAACCCAUUUGCUCAUUAAUGACCAAGAUAAAUACAAAUCAAUGUGGAUUCGAGCACACUCGUCUUUGUGGAUGCUUGGGGGUUUUCUUUUUAUGCUUUACUUGGGGCAUCUUUACAUUUGGGCUGCAGUUGUUGUAAUCCAAAUAUUUAUGGCUAGGGAGCUCUUUAAUCUACUCAGAAGAGCUCAUGAAGAUAGACGUCUUCCUGGGUUUAGACUUCUGAAUUGGUAACAAUAAUGUUAGGUUUGUUAUGGUAUUGGACAAUAUGAAAGUGAUGAUAAUCUGCCAUAUGUCGUUGCAGGUAUUUUUUCUUCACGGCAAUGCUUUUUGUUUAUGGCCGCAUUAUCAGUCAACGACUCGUGAACACAGUAACUUCUGAUAAAUUCUUCUAUAGGCUUGUGGGCGGUAUCGUCAAGUACCAGAUGGUCAUUUGCUAUUUUCUAUACAUUGCAGGUUCUACAACUUAUCGUAAUUGUAAUUCUUACUCAAGAAUUUCUAAUCACAUCAGUUUAUUCUCGCUUUUACUCCUUAAUUUUGAGGAAUUUGAGCUUCCUUUUAACCUGUUUUAUUUGAGUUGCUGUUCAGGGAGCUUAUUGACUUGUCAUUCUUGAUGCUGCAAUCCUUAAAAAAAUGGUUUAAUUAUCUCUAAUUUGUAUGGUUUUAUGUGGUUCAUUCUUACAUUGAAGAAGAAGAUGUACAAGUAUCAA